rnacentral:miRNA from 1 species
UCUCCCUGUUCCUUAUCCCCUU